AAACACACAAAAUUUAAAUGAAACCUGUGGAACAGAGAACCCUGCUACAACAGACAUAAAGACUGUUUUGUAUUGAAAUAUGAAUACAUAGUCUUUCCUAGAUAUUUCUCUUUCCUCUUCCCUUUCUGAAAACUCUUUUUUCAUGUACAUUGCAGGGUGUGUCAAGAUAAUGCAAGAAAAGAUAAAACCCUAACAUUAAACACAGAAGCUGACUUCAUAUUUCAUUUAUUCUGCCAUGCAAUACAGAAGGAACUGCUAGUUUUUGUUGAGCACUAGUCAGUAUUAGCAAAAAGUGAAGGGCCAGGGCAGGGCAGGAAUCUAAGCCCCUGAAAGCUGUAAAGAAAUACAUUUAAUGCAUGAAGGAGAUGCAGUUUCCCUAACAGUUUCAUACAAAACAGAAACACAUACUAAGCCGUCAUAGUGCAAUAUGCCAGCACAGUUUUCAACAGAGGGCCAUAAGGUCCCUCCAUCCUUUGGCACGCAGUCCUGGACACCCAGGAUUAGUGCUCUAGUGACAGCCAGGCUGCAUGGGACAGCUGCUGGAACUGUGUACCACACCUACCCACAGCUGUGGCCUCCUCAGUGCAUUCAGAUAAAGCAUUGGCUUUGUGCAUCAAUUCCAGAGGCAUAAACUUUAGAUGAAAUGUACUGCUAGGCAGAAAGAGCUUUUGCUGAAGAGAGGUUCAAGUCUCUAAUUCUGGGAGACUUCCUGGCUUGUUUUCCCAUUGGCCUCUGCUCCCAGAGCUCUGCUCCCAGAGCUCUGCUCCCAGGAGCAGCCUGGCCAACAGGGACACAGGAACUGCAGGAAGCAGAGGUGGGCACUGACUUUAGGCCAAGGCUCAGGAAGAAGCAAUGCCAACAGGGGAACUUAAGGACUCAUCACCUAAACUCCACUGACAGAAUGGAACUUCCUAGAGUUGGAGUCCAAAGACCAUUGUUACUCAAUAGAAGCAGGCAAUGAGAAGCAUUAUGGAAAACUCUUGAACAGCAUCAACUUAGGUGGAAGCCCACACAGUGCAGUUUCAAAGGGACUAAUGAAGGAGAAAAGCAAGCUCCAGGAUCUCAGUCCUUGAACUGCCCAGCAUUCAGACAAAAGGUUUUGCCAGUUUCUAAAUCAUGAUGACAUAUCCAUUCUGAGAGGACAGAACAGCCUAGAACCAGUUCUGCAGGAGACCAUGCAAUACUCUAUUACUUCUGUCUGCCACAGGCUGAGCCAGAUCUCUUUCAAAUACAGUGUCAACUAAAGGAGCCACAGCCCACUGAUGACCCCUGGAAGCUGCUUCCAGUCACUUCUUAGGCACCAGCUGCCUCUCCUGAACAGCCUCCACUCCACUGGCAGAGCCUUCCAUGCCAUUCCCCACAGCAGAGCAAGCAGCAGAGCAGGCAUUCCCAACCUGGCUCAGCUGGAAGACAACUGCUGGAUGCUGCUUGCCAGAUAGGGCUGGUGCAAGCUUUGGGACGCUCUCACUAAUCCUCAGAAACAACAGCCUGGCUUUUAUCACCAAGGCAAUGGCAGCAGCAGAGCAGCAGCUCAAGCAGACAAGCCAAGAGGCAAGGAGAGGUCCAGCUUCAACAGGAAAUGGA